rnacentral:hammerhead_ribozyme from 1 species
AUUCAGCUGACGAGUCCCAAAUAGGACGAAAUUCGCGUCCUGUAU